rnacentral:rRNA from 1 species
AGAGUUUGAUCCUGGCUCAGGAUGAACGCUGGCGGCAUGCCUAACACAUGCAAGUCGAUCGGUAAGGCUCUUCGGAGUACACGAGAGGCGGACGGCUGAGUAACGCGUAGGAACACACCCUGCAGUGAGGGAUAAGACACCGAAAGGUGUUCUAAUACCGCAUACGGUCUUCGGAUUAAAGCAUUUAUGCGCUGAAGGAGUGGCCUGCGUCAUAUUAGAUAGUUGGUGAGGUAAUGGCUCACCAAGUCGAUGAUGUGUAGCUGGUCUGAGAGGAUGAUCAGCCAGACUGGAACUGAGACACGGUCCAGACUCCUACGGGAGGCAGCAGUGAGGAAUAUUUCACAAUGAGCGAAAGCUUGAUGGAGCAAUGCCGCGUGCAGGAUGAAGGCCCUCGGGUUGUAAACUGCUUUUAUAAGAGAAGAUUAUGACGGUAACUUAUGAAUAAGGGACGGCUAACUACGUGCCAGCAGCCGCGGUCAUACGUAGGUCCCGAGCGUUAUCCGGAGUGACUGGGCGUAAAGAGUUGCGUAGGCGGUCAAGUUAGCGAGCGAUGAAAACUAUCGGCUCAACCGAUAGCUUGUUGUUCGAACUGCUUGACUCGAGAGUAUCAGAGGUCGCUGGAAUUCCUAGUGUAGCAGUGAAAUGCGUAGAUAUUAGGAAGAACACCGAUGGCGUAGGCAGGCGACUGGGAUAUUUCUGACGCUAAGGCACGAAAGCGUGGGUAGCGAACCGGAUUAGAUACCCGGGUAGUCCACGCCGUAAACGAUGGAUGCUAAUUGUUUGAGGUAUCGACCCCUCGAGUAAUAAAGCUAACGCGUUAAGCAUCCCGCCUGUGGAGUACGGCCGCAAGGCUAAAACAUAAAGGAAUUGACGGGGAC